UGGGGGUGCGGAUCUCUGAAAUUUUUAAUUUUUUGCUUUAGACACAUUUUUCCUUUCAGUUUGCAUUUUCCUUUCAGUUUUUUUUUCUUUCAGAUUGCGUUUUCUUUUCAGUUGUCCUUUUAGUUUGUGUUUGAUCAUCCACAAUCCUCUUCUUUUUUUAUUUGCUUUACUCAAACUGAUGAGCUAUGUUGGAUGAGCUUUCUUUCCAUGACCCCAUUGAUGUAAUGACUCUUUAAACCUAGGUUGAAUCAAUUGCAAUGAGAUAUAUUCAUGUUUGGGAAUUGCCUUUGAAUUGAAUCUUUGAGCUUGCCAUGGUGAAAAAUAUAUUGAUGACACUCAUUUGAGAGAAUGAA
rnacentral:lncRNA from 1 species